rnacentral:rRNA from 1 species
GACAGAGGGGGCAAGCGUUGCUCGGAAUUACUGGGCGUAAAGGGCGCGUAGGCGGGAUGGCAAGUCGGUCGUGAAAGCCUUCGGCUCAACCGAAGAAUGUCGGCCGAUACUGCCGUUCUUGAGGGAUGCAGAGGAGACUGGAAUUCCUGGUGUAGCAGUGAAAUGCGUAGAUAUCAGGAGGAACACCGAUGGCGAAGGCAGGUCUCUGGGCUGACACUGACGCUCAUGCACGAAAGCGUGGGGAGCAAACAGG